GUAGAAUAUUAUCACAACUAUGUUGAGGGUAAAUUUGUCUGGCUUGAGGUAUAGUUCCUUCUCCCCCUCAUUGUCGUCUUCAUUACACAAAUAAUUCAUGCACACUGCACUCUCAUUAUAUUCUGCGCACUUUUGAGAUUCUUAAAAUAUGAACUGAGGAAGACAUAAGUACUUUAAUAGUAUUUGUGGCCUUCCAGUAACCCCCAGGCCCGUUAGAAUAGCCAACCAUGAAAAUCAGAGGGUGAGAGAGCCCAAGACAGGUGGCCAGACCCAGGCAGUGCAGGGAAACAUGAAGCAUAUUUAUAGUUUUCAGUAAAUGUUUCUUUUUAUACUUACAGCGUCUGAACAUCAGAUCCUAUGUUGCCAUUUUCAAUGAUUACUUUCCCUGAAUUCAGUGAGUGGAAUUAUCUAACAAAUCAUUGGCACCAACAAGCAGCCCUAUUUUCUGUGGUAUUUUUUUAAUACAAGAUUUUGGAAUGGUCAUAUAGUCAAAUAUGCCUAUCUUUUUUGUUUUUUAAUGACUUCUAGGUUUUUAAAACUUAUUGAGGAAGGUCUGGGCUUGUCGAUUCUAAAAUAACCCAAAAUUCUAAAUUCUCUUCUUCUUUCUUUUAAUACAUUUAAAGCCAUUUGGGAUUUAUUUUUGUAUAUGGAGUGAGGUGGGGAUCUAGCUCUGUUUUCUUCAAGCAGUUGUUGAUCACGGCAGCACCAUUUAUUAAGUAUACAGUACCUCUCUUUCCCUGUGUUUGGGGAAAUAUAUACUGUAUCAUUUUUCAAACCCUAUCAUCUCACCGAGACAUUCUGCACAACUUUAUGAUGGACAACAGGGUGGCUGUGGGUGCAUGUAUUUCUUGGGGACAACACUUACAGAAUGGGCCAUUGGCUGGGAUUUGUGGGUUAGGGUCUUCUGACAGAUGUUGUUAAACUAUAGGUCAGGCCUGACCUCAUCUUUCCUGUUACUACAGUGUUGUUCAGUAAAUGAAUGGAAGGAGUCUAGAUUAUUCAAAAUAGAGAAAACCUCAUAGAAAACCAGAAUUUUCUUCAUUUUCGGAAAAAGAGAGUUUGUUUCUCAUAAGCGGCCCCUGGCCCUGUGUCCAAUGCCAGGAAUUUGGAUUCAGUUGAAACUGCACACUUCAUAAAAUGCUUUCAACACCUCGGGCACAAUGAUUAAGAGAAUGGAGAGAAGCAGAGGAAUCUGGAAGGAGUAACCCAAAAAGAAAUUUAACAGCUAAAUUGGCCUGAAGUUCUGGAGCUAAAGUAGAACAUACUAGGCUCAGCAGAGGUCUGACACAGAUAAGGGCUUUGAAUUAAGAAAACGUGUUCUAAUGACGACUACUGAUAAGCCAAGGAUUACAGAAAACUGUGAUGGAUAUCAGGUGAAUGUUAGUGAGAAGACAUCAAAUUGUACCUUAGAUUUUACUUUCUUUACAAUGCAACGUAUGACCUUUAUGUAACUUCUUG
rnacentral:lncRNA from 1 species